rnacentral:rRNA from 2 species
AGUCGAGGGGUAUAUGUCUUCGGAUAUAGAGACCGGCGCACGGGUGCGUAACGCGUAUGCAAUCUACCUUUUACAGAGGGAUAGCCCAGAGAAAUUUGGAUUAAUACCUCAUAGCAUAGUGACUCGGCAUCGAGAUACUAUUAAAGUCACAACGGUAAAAGAUGAGCAUGCGUCCCAUUAGCUAGUUGGUAAGGUAACGGCUUACCAAGGCUACGAUGGGUAGGGGUCCUGAGAGGGAGAUCCCCCACACUGGUACUGAGACACGGACCAGACUCCUACGGGAGGCAGCAGUGAGGAAUAUUGGACAAUGGGCGCAAGCCUGAUCCAGCCAUGCCGCGUGCAGGAUGACGGUCCUAUGGAUUGUAAACUGCUUUUGUACGAGAAGAAACACUCCUACGUGUAGGAGCUUGACGGUAUCGUAAGAAUAAGGAUCGGCUAACUCCGUGCCAGCAGCCGCGGUAAUACGGAGGAUCCAAGCGUUAUCCGGAAUCAUUGGGUUUAAAGGGUCCGUAGGCGGUUUAGUAAGUCAGUGGUGAAAGCCCAUCGCUCAACGGUGGAACGGCCAUUGAUACUGCUAAACUUGAAUUAUUAGGAAGUAACUAGAAUAUGUAGUGUAGCGGUGAAAUGCUUAGAGAUUACAUGGAAUACCAAUUGCGAAGGCAGGUUACUACUAAUGGAUUGACGCUGAUGG